rnacentral:sRNA from 1 species
UCAAGGUCUUGGAAAAUGAAGUCUUGUGUUUAUCCAUUCAACAGGUGCAGCAUGGUCAGUAUCAGCAGACAUUUCCUCACAUUGCCUUGCCAAUAUGUCUCAAACUUGACCUGAAGGAACUGUCUCUAGGAGCAACAUAGGUGUUCAGUCCCCCUUCCCUUUCUCAUGAGGCUAUC